UCUCUUAACAUGCCACAAAUUGCUUUUAAUAUUUCUGUGUGUUGUAAUAUUCAAGAUAAGUGUUAUCAUCGCUGAAGAAAUGGCAGAUGUUAAUCCUCAGACACCUGUGAACACCGAGCAGUGCUUGGAGUCCAAGACAGUGGACAUCAUCCUUAUUAUACUUCUCUGACUGGACUAGAGCCAAUGAGAAAAACUCAAAAGAAGAUACUAUGAAGAAUGCAGGUGCAGAAAUGAAAGCUCCCAAGCAAAGAACCCACCAGAUUAAGAUGUGGAAAGACGUUUCACAAUGACCACAACUCCUGAUAAAAGAUUUGGAAAAUGAGCAACAACCAAGGAACAAGUAAUCACUGAUUCACUCAAAAAUG